CACCCUUGCCUGCUGGCUACGAAUAGUGGGCACCGUUCUGUUCGCGCCAGUCCGUGGGCGCAGGGCUUGUUCAAUGAGAAUGUCAUCAAGCCUACAAGCCACUUACGGGAAUUGCGCUAGGUUUCUAUUUCUUUUCAAGGGAAGAGUGGAAUUAUAAUUGCUGGGAAUUUCCCCCCUCUUUCUUGUAAGUGCAUAUAAGUCACCUGCAGCUGCCACUUUCAUUUUAGUCUUAGUUGAUCGCGAGGGAAAAGCUACCUUACCCACUGCCAAGGUGUAUUUAAGAGAAAACGAGCGGGUAGAAAAGAAGCAGAACGCUGUUCGUUGUUUAGCACUCCGUCAAAUGUAAUAUAGACACGGGCUGGAGGAUGAGUCCAGAGAUAACUUCUGAUGUCACUUUUGGGUUUCGCCCAGUGGUCCUGCCUCUUUACCCCAGGACUUAUAUGAAGAGCGAUGACACCAGAAGUCAGCUUUAACUGAUGAACCCACCAUAGUGAAGGAUGCCUCAUUGAUGGGAGACAUUGCUAUCUAAGGAAACUUGACCUUGAAAAGAGUCACCUAGUAUAGCAUAGAAAUGGCCAAUAGAUGCCCAGUAACUUUUCUGACAUUUGCUUUAAUUGUCUUCUUAUUUUCACCUUCAUUAAAUGGUGUGCCUAGAUGAACCCAUCCCUUUAUGAUUUCCUAUUUUGCUUUUAUUUUACAAUAGAAAUUUCAAAAUAUUUUUAUAUGCAUUUGUCAUUUUUGUAUUUUGCAGUUUAUUUUUAAAUAUAUUUAUUAGGCAUUUGAAGUAUCAUCCAAUAGAUAUCUCCUAGGGUUUCUUAUGCUUAUCUCUAAACUAGCGCAAAUCUUACUGUGACUCAGCUCAACUUCUAUUUAAAGUAAGUAAUACAUAAUUGUAACCUGUGAUGUUUUGUGAUUAGUACAGAACUUGGUCUACAAAUUGUAAAUAAAAGCGAGUGAUUUCAGACUUUU